rnacentral:rRNA from 1 species
UUCAGCAUGUAGUCGACCGUACCGCAAACCGACACAGGUGUUCAGGUCGAGUAGACUAAGACGAACGAGUGAGAGGUCCUCAAGGAACUCGGCAAAAAAGCGGCCGUAAGUUAGCGAUAAGGCCUGCUCUGGGCAACCAGAGCCGCAGCGAAAGAUUUUCUGCCAACUGUUUACCAAAAACACAGCUCCCUGCGAACUCGUAAGAGGAUGUAUAGGGGGUGACGCCUGACCAAUGCCGGAAGGUCAAGCAGGGACGGUACAUUGAUUUCGAUUGAUGUGCUAGGCCCUAUAAGCCCCGGUGAAUGUCGGCGAUAACUAUAAUCGUCCUAAGGUUCCGUAUCUGAGCAAUCGGGUACGGAACGGAUUGGGACGAUUAUAGGAGACCGUAAACAGUGUUGAGAGACUUGCGUCAUAAAAAGCUACCUCUUUAAAUCGAAAGAUUUAUUGAAUCCGCGACUCAAAUGAGAGGCCAUACGUCGCGCCCCCGAAAGUGUAAAAACUAGCGGGGUGAAGAUAUGGUCCUACGUUAAAGGAAUAGUAGAGCGUAAUUCCUUGUCUGGUAAGUUCAGACGUGCACGAAUGGCGUAAUGAGUGGAAAACUGUCUCGAGGACUUGCUCGGUGAAAAUGCAAUACCGGUGAAGAUGCCGGUUACCUGUAGUUAGACGAAAAGACCCCAGGAGCUUUACUACAGCUUGGUAUUGGGUCUGCGUGUUAUAUGCGUAGCAUAGGUGGGAGACUUUGAAGCAUACCUCUUGGGGUGUGUGGAGUCGCCAGUGAAAUACCACUCUUAUAAUGUGCAGUCUCUAACCCCCAUAAGAACUAUGGGGGGACCGUGCCUGGCGGGUAGUUUUGGUGGGGCGCUAUCCUCCUAAAAAGUAACGGAGGAGUCUAUUAAGGUUCUCUAGGCGCGAAUGGAAACCGUGCCGAUAGCGUAAUGGUAUAAGAGAGCUUAACUGCGAGAGGUACAUCUCGAGCAGAUGCGAAAGCAGAGCAUAGUGAACCGAUGGUCCGCCUUAGAUGCGGCCAGAGAUUAACGGAUAUAAGUUACCCUGGGGAUAACAGGCUAGUUCCGCCCAAGCGUCCAUAGCGACGGCGGAGUUCGGCACCUCGAUGUCGGCUCACCUUAGCGCGGGGCUGGAGAAGGUCCCAAGCGUUUGGCUGUUCGCCAAUUAAAAAGGUACGCGAGCUGGGUUCAAACCGUGAGGUGUAUUCAAUCUAUGAUUGGAACUUCUCACUGUUUGAAUCCCUUUGAGUUGUUAAUCCGAAGUAAUAUAAAUGGUCUUUUCGUCAAUUGAGAAAGAAUAAGGAACCAACCAUGACACGGCGGUCCUAUAUAGGGAUAUAUAGGAACUACCUGACUAAUAUCGGUGGAACCCUACUCGAAAGAGGGGUAAUACCGAGGGAAGGAAGUAAUUCCACCCGUAGAGACUGAACGUCAGAUAUCUAGAACAGAUAAAGUU